UACGAGGGGGGCAAGCGUUGUUCGGAAUUAUUGGGCGUAAAGGGCGCGUAGGCGGUGCGGUAAGUCACCUGUGAAACCUCUAGGCUCAACCUAGAGCCUGCAGGCGAAACUGCCGUGCUUGAGGGUGGGAGAGGUGCGUGGAAUUCCUGGUGUAGCGGUGAAAUGCGCAGAUAUCAGGAGGAACACCAAUUGCGAAGGCAGCUCGCUGGGACGUAACUGACGCUGAGACGCGAAAGCGUGGGGAGCAAACAGG
rnacentral:rRNA from 1 species